rnacentral:rRNA from 1 species
GGCUCAGAACGAACGUUGGCGGCGUGGUUGAGGCAUGCAAGUCGCACGAGAACGGGGUAGCAAUAUCCCUAGUAAAGUGGCGGAAGGGUGAGGAAUGGGUAGAUAACGUACCCUCGAGAUGGGCAUAACGGUCCGAAAGGACCGCUAAUACCCGAUAAGACCACGGUGAUAUAUUCACUGAGGUCAAAUGCUGGGGAUCUUCGGACCUGGCGCUUGAGGAUCGGUCUGCUCCCUACCAGCUAGUUGGCGGGGUAACGGCCCACCAAGGCUACGACGGGUACCCGGGCUGAGAGGCUGAUCGGGCACAUCGGCACUGAGACACUGGCCGGACACCUACGGGUGGCUGCAGUUCGGAAUAUUCGGCAAUGGACGAAAGUCUGACCGAGCGACGCCGCGUGCGGGAUGAAGGCCCUAUGGGUUGUAAACCGCUUUCGCGAGUGAGCAAAUCAAGACUGGUGAACAUCCAGUUCUGUUGAGUUAAGCUCGUAAAGAAGCCCCCGCUAAUCACGUGCCAGCAGCGGCGGUAAUACGUGAGGGGCGAACGUUGUUCGGUGUCACUGGGCUUAAAGGGUGCGUAGGUGGCUUCGUAAGUAAGGAGUGAAAUCCCUCGGCUUACCCGGGGAAUUGCUUUUUAUACUGCGAGGCUUGAGGAUCAGAGGGGAAAGGGGAACUCCGAGUGUAGCGGUGAAAUGCGCAGAUAUUCGGGGGAAGGCCGGCGGCGAAGGCGCCUUUCUGGCUGAUUCCUGACACUGAGGCACGAAAGCGUGGGGAGCAAACAGGAUUAGAUACCCUGGUAGUCCACGCCCUAAACUAUGGAUACUAAUCAGAAGAACCUGCAAGGGUUUUUUUGACGGAGCAAAAGCGUUAAGUAUCCCGCCUGGGGAGUAUGGUCGCAAGGCUGAAACUC